rnacentral:lncRNA from 1 species
AAUUUCGAAUAGCUGUAUACUACUGUUGCCUUUAUCUAUAACACACUGCAGUGGAAAGUAACAGCCUGUUUUUUUUUUAGAUAUGCUUACUUGUAACUUAGAAUGUCCAUGCCAGAUAAUAGACAAAGUUUAGCUGCAAGGGCAACAGUUUCUAAGCUUCGUCUAUUUAUUCCCAAGGUAUAUCAAGUAUCAAAUAUUGACUGUGGUCUAGUGGGUUUAUUUUGUCUUUGGAUCCAAAUCUUGUUUUAACAGAGGGUCAUUAUUUAUCUGCAGAUUUAAUAAUGUAAGCAGCUCAAUAGUUUUGGCAUGAAUUUUAUCAAAACCUGUAUUUAAGUCUUGUUGGACUAUAAACAUUAGAAAAAAAUGCUAUUAUUUACCCCAAAAGUGACAAGCCAAUGAUUUAACACUUGUUCAUAUUCCUGUUCUUGGGAAAUGUACAUUGUCAUUGAAUUAUUUUAAACCUGGAUAUACAAGGUAUUUAAAGUAACAUUUUUAAACACAAUGGUGUUGUAAAAAUAAAGGUUAUUUCGGAAUUGAUUUUUAGGAAAGGUAACCAUUUUAGAAACCUAAAGUUUAUGUUAUGUUACGGUAUACAACUAUUCAUGAAGAUUACAUAUUACAAUUUAACACUUCAUUCAAAACAGAAAGUUAUUUAUCAAAUUGCACAAUCAAAAUCUUAAACGCAUCAAUCGAAUGGAUGACAACUGUCAUAUUGCUGACCUUGUACAGACAAUAUUUGAAUUCAACCAAUGUCAAACAAUUAUAGAUGAAAUUGGUAUUUAUUUAAAGGUAAGAUAAUACAUUUAAUACUUUAUAAUGUUAUAUGAAUAUUUAAUGCGUGAAGCGUUGCUUAAGGCGUUAUAUGUUUACAUAAAACAUGACCAAGUAUUGUCUGACCAAUCCAUAACAUAUUUACACCUUACAGUGACAUAACAAAAUUAGCCACUCACCAUAAUGUUCAAAUUUUGAGAGCUUACCUCAAGUGCUAUCACAGUUAGUUUGAGGUCCGGUAUAAAAUUAGAAUCGAAUUUAACUACACCUUUGCUCCCCCUUUGCAAUUUGUUUUUCGAUGGGUCUUAUAUAUGUACCAUUAAAUAAAAUUUACAAUCUUGAAAUCUCAACUUAAAAUGCCUUUGUACUUCUAUUCUUAGAUUCCUUUAUAAUAUCCGGUAAUUUGACAAAAAACAGUAUGUCCUCACAUGUUUUAUGUAUUACAACUGAUCGUCUUUAUGAAACUAGUAUACUGUGUGAUCUGAAUGUAGUAGAGGAUACAUUUCAGUUUAUUUGACAAUGUAAUAAAUAUAUUGGUGCGCGUAAGAUUUUUAUCCAGAAAUAUUACAUGUAAUUGUCUAGACAUUUAUAAAGAUCAAUAACAAAAAUACCGAACUCCGAGUAAAAAUAAAAAAGAAAGUUCCCUAAACGAAUGAUGUAGAAAAUGUGAUUAAAUCUGGCUCUUUAGCAGCUUACCCUCUCACGUGUUUCAAAGUCGUAUGCUAUUCCAUUAUAUUGACAGCAAUGCGUGAACAAAACAAACAGACAAAAAAGGGUACAGCAGUCAGCAUUUUGGUUUAAUCUUAAAUAGUAUCAAAACAAACCAAUAUAUCAACAAAGAAAAGCAAAAGGCAUACAGAAAGAGCACAUUAACAAAGGGAAACUCAAGAAUACUAAAAUUUACCAUAACUCAACAACACAAUGACGUGAAGUUCUGAGCACACGUCAAACAAUUACUUUCUGUUGAAAACAUUUAGGACCUUUGUAAUUUUGGACAAUACUUAUCUUUGCGUUUAAGUGCGAAUAUUAUAUAUAAGACAUAGUUAUAUCAUAUGUAUAUUGACACUCACAAACUAUUAAACAUGUAACUGCUAUUUUGGACGUUUACUAUCAUUGUUUUGAGAAAUGAUGUCGACAUAUAGUAGUAUACCAAUUGCAUUAUGUACAACCUUGAGGAUGCACAACCCUUUUAAAAAAAAUAUUUAAAAAUUGACUUCUCCGAAAAAUGUUGAUGAAUUUAAUAUUAAUAUUCUGUAAUUUUGGAAAAAUUAAGUGUUUAAUUACCCAAAAGCAGUACGUACCAGAAAGACAACAAACAAAACAUUUCGGC